rfam:Schistosoma margrebowiei strain Zambia genome assembly, scaffold: SMRZ_scaffold0000316
AACUUUAUGAAUCCGUGCUGAGAUUUUGUCAGACACCAACCCAUUAUGGUUGAUCAGACUUUCAAGAUAUGUGAAGUU